rnacentral:tRNA from 1 species
AGCAGUGUGGCUUAGUGGAAAGAGCACAGGCUUGGUAGUCAGAGGUCAUGGGUUCUAAUCCCAGCUCUGCCA